GCAAGGGUGAGUGGCGAAAGGGUCAGUAACACGAUCGAACGUACCCCGAGGUGGGGGAUAGCGGCGGGAAACUGCCGGUAAUACCCCAUGAUCUCCCCGGAGCAAAGGUUUACCGCCUUGGGAUCGGCGAUCGUCCUAUCAGCUAGUUGGCGGGGUAAAGGCCCACCAAGGCUAUGACGGGUAGCAGGUGUGAGAGCACGAUCUGCGACAUCGGAACUGAGACACUGUCCGGACUCCUACGGGAGGCUGCAGCGACGAAUCUUCCGCAAUGGGCGCAAGCCUGACGGAGCGGCGCCGCGUGUGGGAUGAAGCGCCUUCGGCGUGUAAACCACUGUCAGGGGGCAAAACCAAUGAUUUCCCCCAAAGGAAGAGACGGCUAACCCUGUGCCAGCAGCCGCGGUAAUACAGGGGUCUCAAGCGUUAAUCGGAAUUACUGGGCUUAAAGGGUGCGUAGGCGGGCCUGAAAGUGCCUUGUGAAAUCCCCCGGCUCAACCGGGGAACUGCGGGGCAUACUCCAGGUCUUGAAGAAGGUAGGCGCCGAGGGAACAGUAGGUGGAGCGGUGAAAUGCGUAGAUAUCUACUGGAACGCCGAUGGUGAAGACGCUCGGCUGGGCCUUUCUUGACGCUGAGGCACGAAAGCGUGGGGAGCAAACAGGAUUAGAUACCCUGGUAGUCCACGCCGUAAACGAUGCACGCUAGAUCGGUGCGGGUUUGACCCCGUAUCGGUCGGAGUAAAAACGAUAAGCGUGCCGCCUGGGGAGUACGGUCGCAAGGCUAAAACUCAAAGAAAUUGACGGGGGCUCACACAAGCGGUGGAGCAUGUUGCUUAAUUCGAGGCAACGCGAAGAACCUUACCUGGGUUUGACAUGG
rnacentral:rRNA from 1 species